CGAGAUUCUAUUUGGGACUGCACCUAGGCUAGGUUGCUAUUUUCCCCAACAACUGCAACUUCAAACUGAUGUUUUAGUAGAUUAUGUAACUGAACUCGCAAAUGCUUUGAACAAAAUCCAUGCCCAAGUUUUCUCUUCAAUUCCAGAUCCUGAUUCUGACACAGGCAACCACAGUCUGCUCCCCGGUGACUGGGUUCUGGUCAAGAAAUUUGUGCGAAAACAUACCCUGGAACCAAGAUUUGACGGACCGUUCCAAGUUCUCCUGAUCUCCCCUACCUCUGUCAAAUUGUCCGGAAGGCCUAACUGGAUCCACGCUUCCCAUUGCAAGAAGACACCUGCCCCAGAGGAAGCUAAUUCUAUGCAACCAUGUGCCUCUGGUACAUUAUCUCCUUAGUUGGCCUCCUUAAAGCCCAGCAGGUGGCCAUCACCAAAGAUGCUAGUGGGUACACUUUCUGGUAUAAUUCAUCAUGUACCCAUGUGGCUACAUUCACUUUUGAUUACUGUGAUAUUGUAGAAUGCCCAUUCCCUAAGUCACAGAUUCA